CCCAGUGAGCCCCGCCCUCUGCUUCAGCAUCCUAAAAUUGUUGCACAUGGUGGGUUUAUGUUGGAGGGUACUUUGCCUCAAUACAUGGAUGGGAUCUGGACACAUCGCCACCUACUGUUCACCAAGAGUUUUACAGUUGAGAGUCGUGAGUCCAAACAGGUAUUCAAAGGUGGUUUGGGGUGUAAGACAGAGUCAUAUCUGCACCUCCAUACAGGACCAUUGUGAGUUAGUGGAUGACAUGUGCCAACAAAUCAAAGAUAAAUCAGGGGAUAAAACGGUGUGUUGAAAUUGCCCCACUGCAUUUUCUGUCUUCAUGCGGCACCCUGACAGUGCCCCAGUGUGCCUGGCCACUGGAUCACACAAGGAACAGACACAUUGGGCUAACAUACUGCAAGCUGCAACACAACAUUAAAACUCUGGUAUAAUUCUUCUUCUACUGUUCACAAUCAUAAGCGAAACAAAAUUCAACAAGCUUCGAUGCCUUCUUUUCAAGUUAUUCUUUUCCCAUCCUUUCCCUUGAUGGUCUGUAAGCUCUCUGGUGGG